CUCUCUCCCUUCCCUUCCAUGAGACCCUCCCCAACCCAUCUCUGCAUCUCCCAGCUCCUCCCACUCCUGCUCCUCCCUCGCCCUGCCCCCCUCCACCUAUCCCAACUCCACUCAUCCGCAGCCCAAACACUGAUCUGUUUUAGUUUGCAUUUUCUAGAGUCGUCCAUAAAUGGAAUCAUCCCAUAUGUACUUGAUUUUGUCUGGCUUCUUUCACUCAACAUAGUUACUUUGACAUGCCUGCGUGUUUUUGCAUGGAACAAUCAUUCAUUGCUUCCUGAGCAGUAUUCCAUUUAUGGAUAUACCACCGUGUGUUUAGUCAGCACUUGAUUUAGCCUGCUUUCAAUUUUUCCUGAUUAGAACUACAGCUGCUAGGAACAUCCCUGUGCAAAUCUUUGUACAGACAUAUACGGUUUUUCCUCUCUGGGGUAAAUACCUGGAAGUGGAAUGCCCAGGUCGUAAGCCUAACCUGAACUUAAGCCGGCAGAUGAGGAUAAGGCUCCCCAGCCUCCCGGAACAAGCAGACAGUUAUUAAUGGAAAUGUUCCACCAGUUCAGGGAGUUUUUGGAAAACUAAAGGAGUUCGCAGGGUCAUACAUCAUCUUUUUCUUUCAUCUUGAAAACUAAGAAACGAAGAAAAAUUGGAUCAUGGAAAUACAGGAAUUUACAUCAGGUAUAUCCGAACAGUCAGCCUUUCUGCUUUGAUUUUGUUUCUUUCUUUCUCCUCUACAAAGGCAUAUUUUGACUUGGUUCAUUUAUAUCUCUACCUUCUGCUCUUUUCUUUGCUCUUGAUGGAGACAGUAAAGGGAAAUGCAUAAAAAACUAGGUGUUUAAAAAACCAAAGAUUCUAGUACACAGUGGAAUAUAGCUUUUACUAAAUUGAACAUAAAUGCCAGCACAGAAAGAUGAGUCGUGCAGGCACAGCUGGCACAACCUGCAUUAUAUGUACAUAU